GGUGCUGUUCAUGCAUUGAUGGCAUUGGCAACGUCUGUGAACACAAGACGGCUGGGUCUCUGGAGGGCUCCUUGACUUGUCAGCAGAAUCUGCGUUGAAGCAGUGAAAGAUGAGACCCGGCAAGGCUGCCUUUGCUCAGGUGUGUGUGCCUGGGCACAGGCUGCACCAUCCUGUAACCGGAUUCCCCGCUGGGCUAAGGGGAGGCCCCCUGACAUGGCAUUAACAAGGUUGUGACAGAAGAACACACCAGGCCAGAGAGCCAGCCAUCCGUGCCAGUUUAAAAUCCCCACGUCAUUGGAUUACUGGGUGUCACUAUUUAUAUAUACAAGGCAGCAAGAAAAGACUUGAAACAUGAAGAAGGCCUGGAUUUGUGCCACACACUGAACUUUGGCUGCUAUUUUAGACUCCCCCUCUCUCAUUAUGUUAAGCCUUUAAACUUGCGUGCUUUUAAGGCAGAGGUAUCCAUGCAUUAGCAGGCUCUGACGGGAUCUGAAGUCUCCUGCUGGCCAGUCCCUACAGACAACAAGGAUCUGCUUUUAUGCGCUAAGCUUAACUCUGGCCUUGUCAUUCCCCCCACUCCUACCUGAAGGGAAGUCCUCAAUGUGCACUAAUAGAGGCAUCUGAUGUUUUCCCAGUGUGUGCUACUCAGAGGACAAGACCUUUGCUUUUAUAUAACAGAAUUUUUGCUUUCCUAAACCAGCGCAUGGAAUGUGUUGACAGUCUCUCAUAUUCCAACACGCACCUCUCUUGUGUGCUCUUUAGCAGGCUGGGAAGCAUGGCUUGAGACAAAUAUUUUAUAAUUACAGUUGUAUUUAUUGUCUCCUUUUCUUGCUACAGAUUAUCUAAAGGUGUAAAUUGUGUGGAAACUGAGAAUUGUUUGGGAGAACUCCUGCUCCUGGAACUGGAAAAGCAAGGGAAGACAUGGGCAACACAGAGCAGCUGGAGAGGAAUUUAAGAAAGGAGAGAUGUCUAUGCUAAGGGGAGGCUGCAUCACUGACUAAGAGACGUACCUGUUCCAGCCAUCCCUGCCGUCUCUGUCUUUCAGAAAGGCUUUUUGUGUGGUGGUGGUGACAAAGGAAAAAGAAAACACUGUGAAGCUGGCUGCAAAUGUUGCUCUGUCUGGAUUUUGAAGAACCCUUUGGCCAACAACGGAUAUUACGUACCUCUUCCUCUUCCUGAUAUACAGAACCUGAAGGAGAAAGAAAACCUCCAUUACAACAGCCCCAGUAAGAUGGGGAAGAGCUAAGAAGGCAAGGCUAUUACGCAGCUCCGGUUACUGUGAUGCCUUACUGCUGUCCAUAACUGCAUUGAGCAGCGUGAUUAACAUCUGGCACUAAUGACUGAAGCAGAGAAAUCGCAG